AACGGCCAUAUCACGUUGAAACACCGUUUCCUGUAGGAUCACAGAAGUUAAGCAACGUCGAGCCUAGUCUGUACUUAGCCGAGUGACCGCUUGGUAAUACCAAGUUCUGUAAG